AUUGAACGCUGGCGGCAGGCCUAACACAUGCAAGUCGAGCGGAUGAAGGGAGCUUGCUCCUGGAUUCAGCGGCGGACGGGUGAGUAAUGCCUAGGAAUCUGCCUGGUAGUGGGGGAUAACGUCCGGAAACGGGCGCUAAUACCGCAUACGUCCUGAGGGAGAAAGUGGGGGAUCUUCGGACCUCACGCUAUCAGAUGAGCCUAGGUCGGAUUAGCUAGUUGGUGGGGUAAAGGCCUACCAAGGCGACGAUCCGUGACUGGUCUGAGAGGAUGAUCAGUCACACUGGAACUGAGACACGGUCCAGACUCCUACGGGAGGCAGCAGUGGGGAAUAUUGGACAGUGGGCGAAAGCCUGAUCCAGCCAUGCCGCGUGUGUGAAGAAGGUCUUCGGAUUGUAAAGCACUUUAAGUUGGGAGGAAGGGCAGUAAGUUAAUACCUUGCUGUUUUGACGUUACCAACAGAAUAAGCACCGGCUAACUUCGUG
rnacentral:rRNA from 1 species